rnacentral:rRNA from 1 species
AUUGAACGCUGGCGGCAGGCCUAACACAUGCAAGUCGAACGAGUGGCGGACGGGUGAGUAAUGUCUGGGAAACUGCCUGAUGAGGGGGAUAACUACUGGCAACGGUAGCUAAUACCGCAUUGCAUCAGAUGUGCCCAUAUGGGAUUAGCUUGUUGGUGGGGUAACGGCUCACCAAGGCUACGAUCCCUUGCUGGUCUGAGAGGAUGACCAGCCACGCUGGAACGGAGACACGGUCCAGAAUCCUACGGGAGACAGCAGUGGGGAAUAUUGCACAAUGGGCGCAAGCCUGAUGCAGCCAUGCCGCGUGUAUGAAGAAUGCCUUCGGGUUGUAAAGUACUUUCAGCGGGGAGGCGUUACCCGCAGAAGAAGCACCGGCUAACUCCGUGCCAGCAGCCGCGGUAAGUC